AGCCAGGGGCGAUUCUAGGAUCAGACCUUUAGGGGGACUCAGCCCCUAGUGAGAAUGUGACAUGGAUACAGUGCAAAAUGAAAUAUUGUUCAUUUA